rnacentral:rRNA from 1 species
UACGCGUUAAACAUUCCGCCUGGGGACUACGGUCGCAAGAUUAAAACUCAAAGGAAUUGACGGGGACCCGCACAAGCGGUGGAGCAUGUGGUUUAAUUCGAUGCAACGCGAAAAACCUUACCACUCCUUGACAUGGAAAUUAUACCUAUUCGAAGGGAUAGGGUCGGUUCGGCCGGGUUUCACACAGGUGUUGCAUGGCUGUCGUCAGCUCGUGUCGUGAGAUGUUGGGUUAAGUCCCGCAACGAGCGCAACCCUCAUCCUUAGUUACCAUCAGGUAAUGCUGGGGACUUUAAGGAGACUGCCAGUGAUAAACUGGAGGAAGGUGGGGAUGAUGUCAAGUCAUCAUGGCCCUUAUGGAGUGGGCUACACACGUGCUACAAUGGUGGCUUCAAUGGGCUGCAAAGUCGCGAGGCUAAGCCAAUCCCUUAAAAGCCAUCUCAGUUCGGAUUGUACUCUGCAACUCGAGUGCAUGAAGUUGGAAUCGCUAGUAAUCGUGGAUCAGCACGCCACGGUGAAUACGUUCUCGGGUCUUGUACACACUGCCCGUCACGCCAUGGGAAUUGGUUUCACUCGAAGCUAACGACCUAACCGCAAGGAGGGAGUUAUUUAAAGUGGGAUCGGUGACUGGGGUG